rnacentral:rRNA from 1 species
AUGGGUCGAGAGGAUGCUUCCAAGAAGGGUAGGAAGGUUGCUGAUGCCAGCAAGGAAAAGGUGGCUCAUGAAGAUAUUUCCAAGAAGGGUGUCAGUGCCUCUAAGAAUGUUGCUGGUGGAUCCAAGAAAGAGGUCCCGGUGCCAGGUGGAUCAUGUGUUUCCAAGCGCAAAUUUGAAGCUAAGGAUUCUUCUGCUUCGAAAAAGAUGGUUAUCUCCAAGGAUUUCAGUCGCAACACAAUGAAGAUUUCUGCUGUCACAAGGGCUCAGCUCAAUAUUCCUUUUGGAGACACUGACAGAGUAGUGUACUGCAUAGUAACCAGCAACACUCACUCUGCUGGUUUCUGCGUUGGACAUGCUCUGUUUGAUAUGCUGGGUCAUAGGAAUUUCACUAUUGCUGACCACUACGUCAAGGACACGGUGCUAGUUUCUUUCAAGGAUGCUUUCAAUGUGCUGAUUGUAGCUGGUAAUGACAUUCGGUCUGGUCCUGAAGCUCUGAUGACUGUUCGUCGAGUUUCUAGGAUUGAGCAGUGCGUUCCUGAUUGGGAUGGCUACUUUCAGAGAAACAUCAUCAUUACACCUGAAGCAGGACAAGAUGAAGAUGUCAAUGAUGAAGAAGAUGAAGUUGAUCUUUCCAAGCCUGAUUAUGAUUGCUCUGGUGCUAGUUUUUCUGGUGGAUCAGGAGGGGAUGGUGCUGCUGGAGGUGGUGUUGGUGCAAGCGUUGCUGCUGCCUGA